GAUGAAGAACACAGCGAAAUGCGAUAAGUAAUGUGAAUUGCAGAAUUCAGUGAAUCAUCGAAUCUUUGAACGCACCUUGCACCCUUUGGCAUUCCGAAGGGUAUGCUCGUUUGAGUGUCAUUGUACUCUCACACUCCCAAUUGCUUUGGAUUGGAAGCGGUGGACUUGGGUGUUGCUGCUUGACUGAGGCUCACCUGAAAUAUGUUAGUGCACCUCUUGAUUGGACAUAGUACGGCGUGAUAAGUGUCUUCGCCGGCUCCUCGCAAAGAGGGUGGCCGAUCGGGAGCUCUGUUGCUUCAAACUGUCUUCGGACAAUCUUCUGGCGACUUGACCUCAAAUCGAGUAGGACUACCCGCUGAACUUAAGCAUAUCAAUAAGCGGAGGA
rnacentral:misc_RNA from 1 species